AUUGAACGCUAGCGGGAUGCUUUACACAUGCAAGUCGAACGGCAGCGCGGACUUCGGUCUGGCGGCGAGUGGCGAACGGGUGAGUAAUGUAUCGGAACGUGCCCAGUAGCGGGGGAUAACUACGCGAAAGCGUAGCUAAUACCGCAUACGCCCUACGGGGGAAAGCAGGGGAUCGUAAGACCUUGCACUAUUGGAGCGGCCGAUAUCGGAUUAGCUAGUUGGUGAGGUAACGGCCCACCAAGGCGACGAUCCGUAGCUGGUUUGAGAGGACGACCAGCCACACUGGGACUGAGACACGGCCCAGACUCCUACGGGAGGCAGCAGUGGGGAAUUUUGGACAAUGGGGGCAACCCUGAUCCAGCCAUCCCGCGUGUGCGAUGAAGGCCUUCGGGUUGUAAAGCACUUUUGGCAGGAAAGAAACGUCGCGGGCUAAUACCCCGUGGAACUGACGGUACCUGCAGAAUAAGCACCGGCUAACUACGUG
rnacentral:rRNA from 1 species